CUCUAUAUUCUGUGCCCUCAGAUGAAUAAACUGAGUCAGUAAUUCUACUCCGCCUGGCCCAUGUCAUAAGUUAUUUCGUGCCUCUCCAUUCGGUGUGCAAUCUGUUUGCGGGCAACAAUACUGGAGAUCAAAUUUUUGGUUUAAUUCUGGUUUUCUUCUUACAAAAACUAUGUAGGAUCCCAGGAGAAAGUCCUUAACUGUUGCACACACAUGGCUUUGACAAACUGUCUACUUGUCUGUUAUAAAGCCUUAAAUUUGACAAUCCCUGUAAAAACUCUAAGGGGACAAAAACAAUUCUUUCUUUCUUUUCUUCUGCUUUUAAUUGCCAUUUUUCCUGCUUCACAUAAGCAAUAAAAGUACUCAUAUCCAUCACUAAGAAUGCUCCACAUGGAUAUUCACUCUAAAGAAUAUGAGAUAUUCUCUUGUUGAAACAUAGAAAAGUCUGAUUACAUGUGACUUAUUUAAAUUCUUAAAUGUCAGUUGUUUCUUUGUUAUUAUAGGACAUCCAUUAUGCAUGCUGCCAUUGGUGAACCAGUAGGCAUAGUCAGUCUUCUUCUUCAAUAUGAUGUUGAUGUCUCUUGCCGAGAUAGAUCUCGAUAGACAGUUUACGACCAUGCCAAAAUCAGUUGUCGCCCAAUUCAUUAUGAACUAAUUACUGAGUAUGGAAGAGAGAAGGGACUUUAUCAGUCCCAGUCAACCCUAACCAGCAGUUCAGAGAGUGCUUUUGAUCCAGAAUUUGCUUUGGGUGGAGCUGCCAUGGAUCAAAUAGCUCUAGUGUUUUCAUCAAGAAUGCUUGAAAGUCUGCUAUUUCACUGAAGAUCCACUUUUUACCCUGAAGGAUUAUACUCAGUUUUGCUGGAUGGCUUGCAAUCUGAUAUAAGCUACACACAUAU